UAUCUUUGCCCCGUCGCAUAAGGCGACUACAUAAGAAUCAUUUAAAUAAAUAUUGGCAUG
rnacentral:ncRNA from 1 species